GCGGGAGUAGCGGGUGCAGAAAAUCCAGCGCUGCUGCGGUUGUCGUGCGAGCCUGCUUGGAUUUAUUUUUGUCCUAACUUAAAGCUGCAGAAGAAGAGGUCCCUAGACCUCUGAUUAAUCUUCAUCGUGCGUACCCUGUGGGGUCAAGCCUAGCUUCUGAGGCAUCUGCAAGAGACCCUGAAUAGGUGUCCCUGGGCUGAUGGUUCGUGUUCUGGACUCUGGAUGAUCCUCCUGUUGUACAGUGUUGAAUUGAUUUUCACCGAUAUAUUGGAUUUCAGACAUGCAACCAACUACUUUAUUUCUUAAAAGCAAGAUGGGAUCAUAAUAGAGAAGGUACAGAUGACCAAGAGGAAGAAGAAAAUUUGAAUGCACAAUUGUAUUAGAUAUUUUCUAUUAUGAAAUAUUUCAGGCAGCGAGAAGGUAGAGGUAACAAUGGAUACCUGUGUGCCUGCUACCUAGUUUAAGAAAUCUCAUGUCAUUUUACAUGUUACCAAUGCACUGAAGUCACAGGGCAUCCCCUACCCCAUCCCAUUUCCUUCCCUCCCUCCCAGAUGUGACCACCACUUUGAAUUUGAUGCCUGUUAAACAUAUGCAUGGCUUCUUGCUUUUUACCCAGAUGUAUAUAUUCCUAAAUAAUAUAUAAUGGAGUUUUGCAUGUUUGUACACAUUAUAUAUAUAUAUUCUGUAUAUCCCUCUGCAUUUCUGGGGCUCAGCAUUCUAUUUUAGAGAUUUAUAUUCAUAUUGAUACAUGUGAUUUUGGUUCAUUAAUUUUACAUUGCCAUAUAGUAUUCCAUUUACAAUUUAGUUCCCAUUUACCUAUUGAUGGUCAUAUGGAUA